rnacentral:rRNA from 7 species
GAUGGCAGAGAGGUCACACCCGUUCCCAUACCGAACACGGAAGUUAAGCUCUCUAGCGCCGAUGGUAGUUGGGACCUUGUCCCUGUGAGAGUAGGACGUUGCCAGGC